GGGGUUGUGGCUCAGCGGUAGAGCGCUCACCUAGCACAUGAGAGGCCCUGGGUUUGAUCCUCAGCACCA
rnacentral:tRNA from 1 species